rnacentral:pre_miRNA from 1 species
CAUGCACUGGUGGGGUCCCUCGGCCUGGCCUGCACCCUCUCGCAAUCCGGGACCCCUCGGGGGAUAUCAGAGAGAUGGUUUCAGCCCAAUUCCCACAGGCCAGGUCGAGGGACCCCACCAGUGCACG